rnacentral:rRNA from 1 species
AACAAACGCUGGCGGCGUGCCUAAUACAUGCAAGUCGAACGGGGAAAGCUUUCGGGUGAGUACUAGUGGCGCACGGGUGCGGAACGCGUGGAUAAUCUGCCUUAGAGUGGGGGAUAACUAGUCGAAAGAUUAGCUAAUACCGCAUAAGACGACAAGAACUGCGGUUCAAGGGGUCAAAGGUUUUUCGCUCUAAGAUGAGUCCGCGUAAGAUUAGCUAGUUGGUGAGGUAACGGCUCACCAAGGCGACGAUCGUUAACUGGACUGAGAGGAUGUUCAGUCACACUGGAACUAAGACACGUUCCAGACUCCUACGGGAGGCGGCAAUAGGGAAUAUUGCACAAUGGAGGAAACUCUUAUGCAGCGACGCCACGUGAGUGAUGAAGGCCUUCUGGUCGUAAAGCUCUGUCGCAGGGGAAUAACACAAUGAAGGUACCCUGUAAGAAAGGAUCGGCUAACUUCGUGCCAGCAGCCGCGGUAA